rnacentral:tmRNA from 1 species
GGGGCUGUACUGGUUUCGACGUGGGUUCGGACUCGCAGCAGGGCAUGCCGAGGUUCAGUCACCUCGUAAAACAGCUGAAACAAACCAACUGCGAACGACGAACGUUUCGCCCUCGCCGCUUAAACACCGGUGAGUCUUGCACCAGCAGGCCGAUGGGCUGGGUCCGAAGCGCAAGCUGAGGGCAGCAAGAUAAUUCACAUCGGCUGGCCCGCAACCGUGCACCUUGGCGGCGGGCGAGAUCCAAGGGUGCUGGCGGCUUCCGUAGCGUGCGACUGCGCGACGGAAGCAGCGAGACACAAAUCAGAUCGCUAAGCAUGUAGAACUGCACGAAGAAGGCUUGCGGACGCGGGUUCAAAUCCCGCCAGCUCCACCA